rnacentral:piRNA from 1 species
UGAAAGUUUUGGGUCGUAUUUGUGU